rnacentral:rRNA from 1 species
GGAGGGUGCGAGCGUUGUCCGGAAUCACUGGGCGUAAAGGGCGCGUAGGCGGCGCGGGUAGUCAUCGGUGAAAGUUCAGGGCUCAACUCUGAAUCGGCCGGUGAUACUCCCGUGCUCGAGCACUGUAGAGGCAGGUGGAAUUCCGGGUGUAGCGGUGGAAUGCGUAGAGAUCCGGAAGAACACCGGUGGCGAAGGCGGCCUGCUGGGCAGUAGCUGACGCUGAUGCGCGACAGCGUGGGGAGCAAACAGGAUUAGAUACCCUGGUAGUCCACGCCGUAAACGAUGGGCACUAGGUGUGGGGGGUGUCGACUCCCUCCGUGCCGAAGCUAACGCAUUAAGUGCCCCGCCUGGGGAGUACGGCCGCAAGGCUA